rnacentral:rRNA from 1 species
AUACGUAGGUGGCAAGCGUUGUCCGGAAUUAUUGGGCGUAAAGCGCAUGUAGGCGGUGCCUUAAGUCUGUCGUGAAACUGCGGGGCCUAACCCCGUAUGGCGAUGGAAACUGUGGCACUUGAGUGCAGGAGAGGAAAGGGGAACUCCCAGUGGAGCGGUGAAAUGCGGUGAUAUUGGUAAGAACACCGGUGGCGAAGGCGCCUUUCUGGACUGUGACUGACGCUGAGAUGCAAAAGCCAGGGUAGCGAACGGGAUUAGAUACCCCGGUAUUCCUGGCCGUAAACGAUGGUUACUAGGUUUGGGAGGUAUCGACCCCUUCCGUGCCGGAGUUAACGCAAUAAGUACCCCACCUGGGGAGUACGGCCGCAAGGCUUAAACUUAAAGGAAUUGACGGGU